AGUGAACGCUGGCGGUAGGCCUAACACAUGCAAGUCGAACGGCAGCACAGUAAGAGCUUGCUCUUACGGGUGGCGAGUGGCGGACGGGUGAGGAAUACAUCGGAAUCUACUUUUUCGUGGGGGAUAACGUAGGGAAACUUACGCUAAUACCGCAUACGACCUACGGGUGAAAGCAGGGGAUCUUCGGACCUUGCGCGAUUGAAUGAGCCGAUGUCGGAUUAGCUAGUUGGCGGGGUAAAGGCCCACCAAGGCGACGAUCCCUAGCUGGUCUGAGAGGAUGAUCAGCCACACUGGAACUGAGACACGGUCCAGACUCCUACGGGAGGCAGCAGUGGGGAAUAUUGGACAAUGGGCGCAAGCCUGAUCCAGCCAUACCGCGUGGGUGAAGAAGGCCUUCGGGUUGUAAAGCCCUUUUGUUGGGAAAGAAAAGCAGCAGGUUAAUACCCCGCUGUUCUGACGGUACCCAAAGAAUAAGCACCGGCUAACUUCGUG
rnacentral:rRNA from 1 species